AUUGCCCUAGUAACGGCGAGUGAAGCGGCAAGAGCUCAAAUUUGAAAUCUGGCCCUCUCAGGGUCCGAGUUGUAAUUUGUAGAGGGCGCUUUGGCGUCGGCUACGGCCUAAGUUCCUUGGAACAGGACGUCACAGAGGGUGAGAACCCCGUACGUGGCCGCUGGCCUUCGCCGUGUAAAGCCCCUUCGACGAGUCGAGUUGUUUGGGAAUGCAGCUCUAAAUGGGAGGUAAAUUUCUUCUAAAGCUAAAUACUGGCCAGAGACCGAUAGCGCACAAGUAGAGUGAUCGAAAGAUGAAAAGCACUUUGGAAAGAGAGUCAAAAAGCACGUGAAAUUGUUGAAAGGGAAGCGCUUGCAGCCAGACUUGCCUGUAGUUGCUCACCCGAGCCACCGGCUCGGUGCACUCUUCUGCGGGCAGGCCAGCAUCAGUCCGGGCGGUCGGAUAAAGGCCUCGGGAAUGUAGCUCCCCUCGGGGAGUGUUAUAGCCCGGGGUGCCAUGCGACCAGCCUGGACUGAGGUCCGCGCAUCUGCUAGGAUGCUGGCGUAAUGGCUGUAAGCGGCCCGUCUUGAAACACGGACCAAGGAGUCUAACAUCUAUGCGAGUGUUUGGGUGUCAAGCCCGGGCGCGCAAUGAAAGUGAACGGAGGUGGGAACCCCUCGGGGCGCACCAUCGACCGAUCCUGAUGUCUUCGGAUGGAUUUGAGUAAGAGCAUAGCUGUUGGGACCCGAAAGAUGGUGAACUAUGCCUGAAUAGGGUGAAGCCAGAGGAAACUCUGGUGGAGGCUCGCAGCGGUUCUGACGUGCAAAUCGAUCGUCAAAUUUGGGCAUAGGGGCGAAAGACUAAUCGAACUAUCUAGUAGCUGGUUCCUGCCGAAGUUUCCCUCAGGAUAGCAGUAACGUUUUCAGUUUUAUGAGGUAAAGCGAAUGAUUAGAGGCAUGGGGGUUGAAACAACCUUCACCUAUUCUCAAACUUUAAAUAUGUAAGAAGUCCUUGUUACUUAGUUGAACGUGGACAUUUGAAUGUACCGUUACUAGUGGGCCAUUUUUGGUAAGCAGAACUGGCGAUGCGGGAUGAACCGAACGCGGGGUUAAGGUGCCAGAAUGCACGCUCAUCAGACACCACAAAAGGUGUUAGUUCAUCUAGACAGCAGGACGGUGGCCAUGGAAGUCGGAAUCCGCUAAGGAGUGUGUAACAACUCACCUGCCGAAUGAACUAGCCCUGAAAAUGGAUGGCGCUCAAGCGUGCUACCCAUACCCCGCCGCCGGGGCAGAAUUUACGCCCCGGCGAGUAGGCAGGCGUGGAGGCUCGUGACGAAG
rnacentral:rRNA from 1 species